AGACCAUGAUGAGGACAACGCCUGAGCAAGUCCUUGUAUCUUUCCUAGGCCUCAUACAACGAUUCAAAAUCUAGCUGCAUAAAUGCUAUGAUAUCAUUCCUUAUUUU
rnacentral:snoRNA from 1 species